rnacentral:rRNA from 1 species
GGUCAAGUGAAUAAGCGCACAUGGUGGAUGCCUUGGCGAUAAGAGGCGAAGAAGGACGUAGAAAUCUGCGAUAAGCGUUGGCGAGUUGAUAAACGAGCUGUGACCCAACGAUCUCCGAAUGGGGCAACCCACUUACUUUUAGUAAGUAUCCUUAAGUGAAUACAUAGCUUAAGGAGGCGAACCCGGCGAACUGAAACAUCUAAGUAGCCGGAGGAAAAGAAAUCAACCGAGAUUUCCCUAGUAGCGGCGAGCGAACGGGAAACAGCCUGCAAGUGAUAAUUAACGUAUUAGUGGAAUAGUCUGGAAAGGCUAGCGAUACAGGGUGAUAGCCCCGUACAUGAAAAUGCGUUAAUGGUACUAGGCUUGCGACAAGUAGGGCGGGGCACGAGAAACCUUGUCUGAACAUGGGGGGACCAUCCUCCAAGGCUAAAUACUCCUUAUCGACCGAUAGUGAACCAGUACCGUGAGGGAAAGGCGAAAAGAACCCCGUUGAGGGGAGUGAAAUAGAACCUGAAACCGUGUGCGUACAAGCAGUAGGAGCAGACUUGUUCUGUGACUGCGUACCUUUUGUAUAAUGGGUCAGCGACUUAAUUUAUGUAGCGAGCUUAACCGAAUAGGGGAGGCGCAGGGAAACCGAGUCUUAAUAGGGCGACUAGUUGCAUGGAUUAGACCCGAAACCUGGCGAUCUAUCCAUGGUCAGGAUGAAGGUUGGGUAACACUAACUGGAGGUCCGAACUCACGUAUGUUGAAAAAUGCGGAGAUGAACUGUGGAUCGGAGUGAAAGGCUAAUCAAGCCAGGAGAUAGCUGGUUCUCCUCGAAAGCUAUUUAGGUAGCGCCUCGUAUCUCACUCUCGGGGGUAGAGCACUGUUUGGGCUAGGGGGUCAUCCCGACUUACCAACCCCAUGCAAACUCCGAAUACCGAGAAGUGCAAUUACGGGAGACAGACGGCGGGUGAUAACGUCCGUCGUCAAAAGGGAAACAACCCAGACCAUCAGCUAAGGUCCCAAAAUUAUGGCUCAGUGGAAAACGAUGUGGGAAGGCCCAGACAGCUAGGAGGUUGGCUUAGAAGCAGCCACCCUUUAAAGAAAGCGUAAUAGCUCACUAGUCGAGUCGGCCUGCGCGGAAGAUGUACCGGGGCUUAAGCCAUAUACCGAAGCUAUGGAUGCGUGUUUACACGCAUGGUAGAGGAGCGUUGUGUAAGUCUGUGAAGGUGUGUUGAGAAGCAUGCUGGAGAUAUCACAAGUGCGAAUGCUGACAUGAGUAACGAUAAAGGGGGUGAGAGGCCCCCUCGCCGAAAAUCCAAGGUUUCCUGCUCAACGUUAAUCGGAGCAGGGUGAGUCGGCCCCUAAGGCGAGGCAGAAAUGCGUAGUCGAUGGGAAACAGGUUAAUAUUCCUGUACUUGUUAUUACUGCGAUGGGAUGACGGAGAAGGUUAGGUCAGCCAACUGUUGGAUAUGUUGGUUUAACUGCGUAGGCGUGCUGAAUAGGAAAAUCCGUUUGGCUAAGCUGAGACAGGACGACGAGUGCCAUUAGGCGCGAAGUGAUUGAUACCCUGCUUCCAGGAAAAGUCUCUAAGCUUCAGGUAAUAACAAACCGUACCCCAAACCGACACAGGUGGAUGGGAUGAGAAUUCUAAGGCGCUUGAGAGAACUCUGGUGAAGGAACUAGGCAAAAUAGCACCGUAACUUCGGGAGAAGGUGUGCCCCUGUUAGGUGAAGUGACUUGCUCACGGAGCUGAAGGGGGUUGCAAUGACCAGGUGGCUGCGACUGUUUAUUAAAAACACAGCACUCUGCAAACUCGAAAGAGGACGUAUAGGGUGUGACGCCUGCCCGGUGCUGGAAGGUUAAUUGAUGAUGUUAGUUUAGGCGAAGCAUUUGAUCGAAGCCCCAGUAAACGGCGGCCGUAACUAUAACGGUCCUAAGGUAGCGAAAUUCCUUGUCGGGUAAGUUCCGACCUGCACGAAUGGCGUAACGAUGGCCACACUGUCUCCACCAGAGACUCAGUGAAAUUGAAAUUGCGGUUAAGAUGCCGUAUACCCGCGGCUAGACGGAAAGACCCCGUGAACCUUUACUACAGCUUUGCACUGAACUUUGAACCUACUUGUGUAGGAUAGGUGGGAGACGUAGAAGCGAUGACGCUAGUUAUCGUGGAGUCGUCCUUGAAAUACCACCCUGGUAUGUUUGGAGUUCUAACCUACGCCCAUUAUCUGGGCGAGGGACAGUGUAUGGUGGGUAGUUUGACUGGGGCGGUCUCCUCCCAAAUUGUAACGGAGGAGCACGAAGGUACACUAAGCAUGGUCGGACAUCAUGCGGUUAGUGCAAUGGCAAAAGUGUGCUUGACUGCGAGACAGACACGUCGAGCAGGUACGAAAGUAGGUCAUAGUGAUCCGGUGGUUCUGAAUGGAAGGGCCAUCGCUCAACGGAUAAAAGGUACUCCGGGGAUAACAGGCUGAUACCGCCCAAGAGUUCACAUCGACGGCGGUGUUUGGCACCUCGAUGUCGGCUCAUCACAUCCUGGGGCUGUAGCCGGUCCCAAGGGUAUGGCUGUUCGCCAUUUAAAGUGGUACGCGAGCUGGGUUUAGAACGUCGUGAGACAGUUCGGUCCCUAUCUGCCGUGGGCGUUUGAGAAUUGAGAGGAGCUGCUCCUAGUACGAGAGGACCGGAGUGGACGUACCCCUGGUGUUCGGGUUGUUGUGCCAACAGCAUUGCCCGGUAGCUAUGUACGGACGGGAUAACCGCUGAAAGCAUCUAAGCGGGAAGCCCCCCUCAAGAUAAGUUCUCACUGGGAUUUAAUCCCCUGAAGGGCCGUGGAAGACUACCACGUUGAUAGGCUGGGUGUGGAAGUGCAGUAAUGUAUGGAGCUAACCAGUACUAAUUGCCCGUGAGGCUUGACCAUAUAACCCCAAGGGAACUUGG